UACAGAGGUCCCGAGCGUUGUUCGGAUUCAUCGGGCGUAAAGGGCUCGUAGGCGGCCAACUAAGUCAGACGUGAAAUCCCUCGGCUUAACCGGGGAACUGCGUCUGAUACUGGAUGGCUUGAGUGUGGGAGAGGGAUGCGGAAUUCCAGGUGUAGCGGUGAAAUGCGUAGAUAUCUGGAGGAACACCGGUGGCGAAGGCGGCAUCCUGGCCGCUUGCUGACACUGAGGCACGAAAGCUGGGGGAGCAAACAGG
rnacentral:rRNA from 1 species